UACGUAGGGACCAAGCGUUGUUCGGAUUUACUGGGCGUAAAGGGCGCGUAGGCGGCAAUUCAAGUCAUCUGUGAAAUCUCCGGGCUUAACCCGGAACGGUCAGAUGAUACUGCUUUGCUAGAGUGCGGAAGGGGCAAUCGGAAUUCUUGGUGUAGCGGUGAAAUGCGUAGAUAUCAGGAGGAACACCGGUGGCGAAGGCGGUUCUCUGGGCCUGUACUGACGCUGAGGAGCGAAAGCGUGGGGAGCAAACAGG
rnacentral:rRNA from 1 species